CGGAUACAUAAAACAACAAAUGAUGCUACAGGAUAAUGGACAUUCAACAGCAGAUGGUAAUUGCUGGACUUCUGAUGGGAGAGUUACAUCGUUGUACAGAGCCAAGCCAAGAGUGAGACCGACCUCGUGUCCCUCUGUUACUAUAUAGAUGUGCUAAUACUAACGUCAGCAUAUAACUCUAGCCAUAUAAGGACAAGACCCCCGAAUCCACAUUCCAGAGCUCUCGGACAAAGAAAGCCUUGUGACUUAUUGAUACCAUCUGUUACUUAUGUCAAUCCACACAUCCAUAUAUAAUCAAUAGAAACAUAGAAUAUGCAAUAUUCUACAUUCCCUCUGUUUAUGGUUUGUUUUAAAACCAUAACACAAUGUAAUUAACCUGUCCAUUCAUACAUCACUUGUAUCACAUUCAUUGAGCAUAGAACAGAAUGUAGUCACAACUUUCUAUUAUAUGAGAGUUCUUAGAAGAUCGAGUUUCUAUUCCUCAUACUGCUUACUUUACUUUAAACUCCCUCUGUUUCAGCUAUGUAUUGAUAUCCAUAUCCAUGUUACAUCAUAACUACUUGAACAUAAUAUGUACAUAUAUAUAACAAUAAUAAAUGAAUACAAUAAAAUAUUUACAAAUGUUGAUCCAAUAAACAAUAAAGCAAUCAGAAAGAUCUACCUGCUCAGGUACAGUCAUAUCUUUGUAGAUAACAAAAUCAAGAUCGUAACUUUCUAAAUAAUAACUGUGUAUCACUAUCAUACUCCUACAGACACAUAUAGCAUAGUAUUUUCAUUCUCAAUACCUGAUAUUACUUAAGUACUAAUACAUGUAUUGCUUGUAUAUCCGUGCACUUAUAUUUCCAUGAAUCAUAUGGUUUCUAGCAACCUUAAAAUCUUUAGGUCAUUUGUAUUCAAGAAUUACAUUCCUAUACCAUUAAUACCACCUAGUGAUGAUUGUAUCAGUACUUUACAAUCAUAGUAUUUAAUUUGUAUAUUCAGUAGGCUCUAACUACCUGAAAUAUAUCAACACUACUUAUAAGUCUCAUUCAAAGGAUGUGUUAUCAACCAUGAAGUUCUAUAAUAAUUCUUCAAAUAAUGUUCAUGGUGUUGACAAUACUUAUUGUCCUAGAAAUUCUGCACCCAGAAAUCUUUCUAUCAUAGAUUUGUUUUUGUUUACAGAAUUAUAAUUUUGACUACUAUUCUACCUUGUAGUAACAAACUUUUCAUUCAAUAGAAACAUAGUUUACUUUAAAAUAACUUGGAAAGAAUAAUUUAAAUUCAUUAGCAUCACUCUCUUCAUUAGCAUUGUGAUGACUUAUUAAUGUAAUACAUCUUAAAAGCAGGAUUGUCCUAAUGUUCUGAUCAAUCCGUAUUCCUUAGUACACUUCAACUGACUAAAAUAAAAUAAAACAAAAAUAAACUUGGGGUCAUACUGCCCAGAAACUCUUAUUCCUAGUCUGUGUCUAACAAACUCAGGGAAAUCUUAAAACAACGUAUUCAUUGGAUAUCACCAUAUCCAGAAACCUAUUCUCCCUAGUCCACACCUUUAUAGACUUAGGUCAAAUAUAAUUGUGUACUAUACUCUUUCCAUUCAAUUCAAUUCCUCUUGGAUCUCUGAACUCUUAUAUCCAAUGCAUUCUUAAUGUAUACUAUUACUUAAUAUUAAUCAAUAUAAAUUAUCCUUCCUUAGUUUUCUUCCUUUUAUUACCAUUGUUUGUUUUACUUCAACUAUAUAAACAAAUUACUCAUUAUAGUUAAUCUAUGAAAUACUAUUGAACUCAAUCUUUGUGAUAUUAAGUAACCAUGAUCCUUAUUUUAUCAACUUCAUAUUUUAUCUACCUCUGAUACAUCUCAUUCUAUGUAUAGGUAAUAAUAUAACAGUUCUUUUCAAAAUACUAUCCUAUCAUAAUUUUCUAAGUACUCUCUUUUGGUAUUAAUACUCAUAACUGUUAUAUAACUUUUCAUUGUCUGUUUUCAUUUCUGUUAAUAUUUAGGAAUAUAUAUUAGUGUCAAUCUUUUAUUUCUUUGUAAGUCUGUUAAUCUUCUGUAUCGAAUGAACUCUGUAGAAUCUUCCAUCACAGUUUGCAGAUCAGAUGAAAAGUCUCUUUCCAACAGUCGAUGUCCAGUUGUCUGAAGGAAUACUUUCCUGAUUUAUUGCCACAAGGAUCUGUCACGCUUUACCUACAUUAAAACAAAUAACAUGUGCAGCAUCAAUACAAUGGCUUACAAUGUUUAUAUCUCAUUAUUAUUAUACAGUUUAACAUUGAAUCAUAUUGACUACACAAAACAUACUCAUUUCUUCUCAUGAGAUCUACCAUCUAGUGGUCAUUACAUUUAUGCCAUGUGAUGUAUAAUCUUUAAAUUUCCUUUAUAUUCAAAUCUUUCUGAACAUGUAAAUUCUAAAUUCUCAAACUUUUUAUUACUCAUACCUUAUUAAUCAUACCCCCCUUUAAACUGUUUAAUAAUCUGGAGGUAUAACCUAAUCACAUGUCAGAUGUUACCACAAAAUAUUGUUUUCCACUAUACUUUAACAAUAGCAGCCAUCUUGUCUUAACACUGGCACCAUUUUGUCACAUGAAACAAACUACAAAAAACAUAUAUUGUUUCCUUCAUCAAAUGUAUUUGUAAAUCUAGGUUUUAUUCUAUCAAAACUUUUGUCUCAUAUAUAAUCAAAACAUAUGUAUGUCCAGGCGUUGCAAUAUAUAGUAAUCCAUUAUCAGUCAUGACAUUAAAAUCUCAUUCUCAUGAAUUAAAUCAAAGAUUUUAAAUCAACCUCAGAAGCAACAAGGAAUAUAUCCAUUGUUUUUUCUUCUGUAAAAUGAUUGGAGUUACCGUAUAAUUGCAUACACCCAAUAUAACAUUGCAUGUUCCUAACUGCUACAUUAGUGUAUUUCAUUCUGCCAUAUUUGCAAACUUGAUGUAAAUUUUUAUUUUAAUUAAUUAACCUAAUACUUUCUUAUAACACACAUAAAAACAAUGAAAAAACUGUUCAGACUAAUAAUUCAUUAAAACAAACUAACAUAGAACUCUAUUCUUGGCUGUUCUUAAUUCUGGAAUCAGCCUGUGUACAUCUGUUGGCACUCAUAUCCAUGCUCAUUCCCUAAACUGAUCAUAUCUAUUGAAGUUACCGGAUUCUUAUAACUUUCUGUGUUACACUGCAUUGCUUGUCUGUCUCCUAAUUUCGAUUUAGCUAAAAUUGUUCUUAUUUGUCUGAUUAUAAGUUUACAAGGAAAGGCCUUUAUUGAUUUAUCUCCACAUGUAUUUUCUCUGUCAAAAUUUUCAAUCAACACAUUUAAUUUCUCAUUUGCUUUUGAUUUGAUAUCUCGGAUAAAAUAUCUGCAAGAUCUUAAAUAAUGUUGUUUAUUGCACCAAAAACAAAUAACUUUAGGAGUUAUAUUCUGCCUUUUAUUAUCAACUCUACAGUUUUUAGUUGAAUAAAUUGGGAGGGGCUCAGCUGUCUGUAUCACUCUACACUCUGUCCUAGAAGAAGAAGAAGGAGGGGGACGAGGGCUGUAAAAUCUGCACUUCUUUCUCUGCCUAAAUCCACAAGUCAUUUUAACCCCUUCAUUAUUGGUUUCUCUCCUUAAGUUAUCCAAGAACAAAGCUACUUCUG